AUUGAACGCUGGCGGCAUGCUUUACACAUGCAAGUCGAACGGUAACAGGCCGCAAGGUGCUGACGAGUGGCGAACGGGUGAGUAAUGCAUCGGAACGUGCCCAGUCGUGGGGGAUAACGCAGCGAAAGCUGUGCUAAUACCGCAUACGAUCUGUGGAUGAAAGCGGGGGACCGAAAGGCCUCGCGCGAUUGGAGCGGCCGAUGUCAGAUUAGGUAGUUGGUGGGGUAAAGGCUCACCAAGCAAACGAUCUGUAGCUGGUCUGAGAGGACGACCAGCCACACUGGGACUGGGACACGGCCCAGACUCCUACGGGAGGCAGCAGUGGGGAAUUUUGGACAAUGGGCGCAAGCCUGAUCCAGCAAUGCCGCGUGCAGGAAGAAGGCCUUCGGGUUGUAAACUGCUUUUGUACGGAGCGAAAAGGCUCUCUCUAAUACAGGGGGCUCAUGACGGUACCGUAAGAAUAAGCACCGGCUAACUACGUGCCAGCCGCCGCAGUAACAC
rnacentral:rRNA from 1 species